rnacentral:rRNA from 1 species
UGGGGAAUAUUGCACAAUGGGCGAAAGCCUGAUGCAGCAACGCCGCGUGAGUGAUGAAGGCCUUCGGGUCGUAAAACUCUGUCCUCAAGGAGGAUAAUGACGGUACUUGAGGAGGAAGCCCCGGCUAACUACGUGCCAGCAGCCGCGGUAAUACGUAGGGGGCUAGCGUUAUCCGGAUUUACUGGGCGUAAAGGGUGCGUAGGUGGUCUCUUAAGUCAGGAGUGAAAGGCUACGGCUUAACCGUAGUAAGCUCUCGAAACUGGGAGACUUGAGUGCAGGAGAGGAAAGUGGAAUUCCUAGUGUAGCGGUGAAAUGCGUAGAUAUUAGGAGGAACACCAGUAGCGAAGGCGGCUUUCUGGACUGUAACUGACACUGAGGCACGAAAGCGUGGGGAGCAAAC